CUAUUGAUCUAUUGAUCUGUUCUGUAUCAGUAUUAAUACUGUGGCUGUAGAUCCGAUCAGCUCUUCCUUUUAAAUCAAUCAGACAUUAUUGAUACAGCAGUGUAAAUUCAGAAUUGGCUGUGAAGACGAUCAAUAAUAAUAUUUCUAGUCUGACGGUUGUUAAUCAAUAAUCCAUAAUAGAGCCAGUGGAAGGGCUGUAAGGCUCAGCAGCAGCAGUUGAUCUAAUAUCUGAUGUAAUCAAUAAUCAAUAAUGUGCUGUUUCAGUGUGCAGCGGUCUGUCCGUCAGUCCUCUACAGAGUCCGUUCCUCUGUCUGGACCUGGUCUACAUCUCAGUCCUGCUGCAGGAGCUCGGGUUCCCCCCCCACAAACAGUUCAAGCUGGCGAGGACCAUCCACCAGGUGGAGACCAGCUGGGCUCUGGGGGCCACGUUCCAUCACAUCCAGUCCCUGAAGAGACACUGAAGCCUUUAUUCUGAAAACCUUCACUAACUUCCUGCUCGUCCUGGACCCCCGGACCCGGGAAGACCUCAUCCAGGACCCAAACCCAGACCCCCAGUUCUGUGAGGAGGCUGCGAGCUGCUGGUGAAGGCUGCCUCCUAUUGGCUGCUCAGAGUACUGUAAUGUACUGACAGUAAUCAGAUUACUCUCAGCCUCCUCACACAGCUGUGUGACAUCACGUCUGUUCGUCCAAUCAGACGCUCCUCCUGAACAGUGACCUCAUCAACAGUUUAUAUUUAAUAUCUUCUUCUACACUUUGUUAUAUAACAGCUGGGUUUUCUAUUGAUUAUUGAUUAUUGAUUAUUUGUACUGAUUUUGAUGUUUGUGCCAAAAAUAAUAAUAUUUUUCUCAGAUGUUUGUUGUUGAAGCGUAGAGUUCGUAUUACCCUUUAUAUUUAAUUUGAAUGUUUAUAAACAUUAUUUUUCUCGUUUGUUGCUGCGCCGCUAACUAUCGUUAGCUGCUGGGUGCUAAUCGUUAAACUAAUUACUUCUUGUUUUUCAUCGCAACUUACAACCUGUAGGUGGCGCCCUGUUAUCGUACGGUCGGCCCGUAGGUGGCGCUCUGUUACCUCGCCGUGGUGUGUUCGAGGGUUCCAGUGGAACCAGGAACUAUCGGCUCUGACCUCGUUUGUAUCGACAGCACCGAUUGUUACUGAAGGACUUCCUGUUUUUACUCGCUGCAAUAAAACUGAAUGUUUGUCUUCAAUAAAGAUUGUAGCUGCUUCAA